GGGUGCGAUCAUAACCAGCACUAAUGCACCGGAUCCCAUCAGAACUCCGAAGUUAAAGCGUGCUUGGGCGAGAGUAAGUACUAGGAUGGGUGACCCCCUGGGAAGUCCCUCGUGUUAGCACCCC
rnacentral:rRNA from 1 species